rnacentral:rRNA from 1 species
UACGUAGGGGGCUAGCGUUGUCCGGAAUUAUUGGGCGUAAAGCGAACGUAGGCGGCCUUUUAAGUUUGGUCUUAAAGACCGGGGCUCAACCCCGGGAAUGGACUGAAUACUGGGAGGCUGGAGGAUGUCAGAGGAAAGUGGAAUUCCCAGUGUAGCGGUGAAAUGCGUAGAUAUCAAGAGGAACACCUGCGGCGAAGGCGGGUUGCUGGGCCGACACUGACGCUGAUGCGCGAAAGCUAGGGGAGCGAACGGG